UACUGUGCGUGUCAGAUGACUCUCCUGAGC
rnacentral:piRNA from 1 species